AGAUUUGAUAGUAAUAGUAUAUAUAAAACCAUGAACAUUUCUUGGUUUCUACUUUUUUUUUUGUUAUUUUCACCAAGAACGUUUCGUUUGUUUUGUUCUAUCUUUUCGUAUUGUUUUCCUUUUUUUUCCUUUUUACCUGUUCCAUUCAGUUUUUUCCACCACCUUUUUCUAUUCCAUUUCAUUUGUGUUUAUUUCUUUUUUUCCUGUUUUAGUUUUCUAUCUUAUUUUGUUGUGUCUCUUUUUUCUUCAGCAAUCUUUUUUUCUCAGUUGUUUCAUAAAAAAAAAUCUUUUUUUCUCAGUUUUCUUUUUCUUUUCUCUUCACCAUACGACUCCUUUGCUCUCAAUUUGCUUUUCUCUCCAUGGAUGCAAACCUAGUGUCGAUCUACGUUGGCUAUGGAUUGAUGUAAAAGGUGUUGGAGAUCUUGUAGAAAACAUGUUUGGGCGAACCUCUGUGUGAGAUUUGGCGAUCUAGAACUAAGUAGAUUGGAAGAUAUGGGUGGAUUUGUGAUUCAUGAGUCGUGUUCAUAUUGUUCGUGUCUGGCUGACGGACUAGGAGUCUGGCGGAUAGUGUUCUCUAGAACGGUAUGCGAGAGCAGGCGAAACUAUUCGAGGUUCCUGACGACGGCCUGGUGCUCUGCUAAAUGGUCCCCAGGACAAUCUAGGCAUUGUUUUGUCCAGGCUUAGCUUCUAUUGUCACCUUAGGUUAGAGUAGCAUUUGUACUUCACUUGUGGAUGCUCCAUAAUAGUUUUUUCUCACUAUUUUAAUGUUGGCUCCCU
rnacentral:lncRNA from 1 species